GUAAACGGCGGCCGUAACUAUAACGGUCCUAAGGUAGCGAAAUUCCUUGUCGGGUAAGUUCCGACCCGCACGAAAGGCGUAACGAUUUGGGCACUGUCUCAACGAUGGACUCGGUGAAAUCAUAGUACCUGUGAAGAUGCAGGUUACCCGCGACAGGACGGAAAGACCCCAUGGAGCUUUACUGUAGCUUGAUAUUGAAUUUUGAUGCAGUAUGUACAGGAUAGGUAGGAGCCUAGGAAUCAUGCACGCCAGUGUAUGAGGAGGCGCUGUUGGGAUACUACCCUUGCUGUAUUGAAAUUCUAACCCUCGGCGUAGACCGGGAGACAGUGUCAGGUGGGCAGUUUGACUGGGGCGGUCGCCUCCCAAAGAGUAACGGAGGCGUUCAAAGGUUCCCUCAGAAUGGUUGGAAAUCAUUUGCAGAGUGUAAAGGCACAAGGGAGCUUGACUGUGAGACUUACAAGUCGAGCAGGUGCGAAAGCAGGACUUAGUGAUCCGGUGGUUCCGCAUGGAAGGGCCAUCGCUCAACGGAUAAAAGCUACCCUGGGGAUAACAGGCUUAUCUCCCCCAAGAGUUCACAUCGACGGGGAGGUUUGGCACCUCGAUGUCGGCUCAUCGCAUCCUGGGGCUGUAGUCGGUCCCAAGGGUUGGGCUGUUCGCCCAUUAAAGCGGUACGCGAGCUGGGUUCAGAACGUCGUGAGACAGUUCGGUCCCUAUCCGUCGUGGGCGUAGGAAAUUUGAGAGGAGCUGUCCUUAGUACGAGAGGACCGGGAUGGACGUAUCAAUGGUGUACCAGUUGUCACGCCAGUGGCAUAGCUGGGUAGCUAAAUACGGAAGGGAUAAGAGCUGAAAGCAUCUAAGCAUGAAGCCCCCCUCGAGAUGAGAUUUCCCACGGAUAUUAAGACCCCUUGAAGACGACAAGGAGAAUAGGUUAGGAGUGUAAGUGUGGUAACACAUGUAGCUGACUAAAACUAAUAGGUCGAGGACUUAAUCAA
rnacentral:rRNA from 1 species